rnacentral:rRNA from 1 species
UACAGAGGGGGCAAGCGUUGUUCGGAAUUACUGGGCGUAAAGGGCGCGUAGGCGGCCUGCUAAGUCGAACGUGAAAUCCCUGGGCUCAACCCAGGAACUGCGUCCGAUACUGGUUGGCUUGAAUCCGGGAGAGGGAUGCAGAAUUCCAGGUGUAGCGGUGAAAUGCGUAGAUAUCUGGAGGAAUACCGGUGGCGAAGGCGGCAUCCUGGACCGACAUUGACGCUGAUGAGCGAAAGCUAGGGGAGC